GGCUUACACAUGCAAGUCGACGGGCACUUCGGUGCUAGUGGCAGACGGGUGAGUAACACGUGGGAACGUACCUUUCGGUUCGGAAUAAUUCAGGGAAACUUGGACUAAUACCGGAUACGCCCUUCGGGGGAAAGAUUUAUCGCCGAUAGAUCGGCCCGCGUAUGAUUAGCUAGUUGGUGAGGUAAUGGCUCACCAAGGCGACGAUCAGUAUCUGGUCUGAGAGGAUGAUCAGCCACAUUGGGACUGAGACACGGCCCAAACUCCUACGGGAGGCAGCAGUGGGGAAUAUUGGACAAUGGGCGCAAGCCUGAUCCAGCCAUGCCGCGUGAGUGAUGAAGGCCUUAGGGUUGUAAAGCUCUUUUGUCCGGGAAGAUAAUGACUGUACCGGAAGAAUAAGCCCCGGCUAACUUCGUGCCAGCAGCCGCGGUAAUACGAAGGGGGCUAGCGUUGCUCGGAAUCACUGGGCGUAAAGGGCGCGUAGGCGGACUCUUAAGUCGGGGGUGAAAGCCCAGGGCUCAACCCUGGAAUUGCCUUCGAUACUGGGAGUCUUGAGUUCGGAAGAGGUUGGUGGAACUG
rnacentral:rRNA from 1 species